CUUUGAAAUAAUUCUAUGUAGAUAUUGGCUGUCAGUCGGCUAGAACAAUUGAUCAGGAAACAUCUCUGUCUUCACAAAUUACCUGAUAUGUUGAGUAAUGUGAGUAUAACACGAAUUUCAUAUUUGUUUAUGUUCAGUUUCAACCCUAAGAAACACUAAGUGAACAGAAGAAAUUGCACAUAACUGAAGAGUCUGGUAGGAAAACAGAAAAUGCGCGCACACACCUCAAAUACCAAGUCACACUGUUUCCUCUGCUUUAAAACUUAACAUUAGAUUUCCGACAACCCUCUCUCCACCACUGCAUACUAACUCUGGAAAUUUAGAUUCCCUUGCCCAAUUCCACAAGCAACCUUUGGAUCUUCUGCAAGUUUCCUUGCCUCUUAUCUUUGACACAAUGUGAGUAUCCUAAGCUUCAUUAAUAUCCAUUGAUGAAGGCUGAGGCAAGCGGAUCACUUGAGGUCAGGAGUUCCAGACCAACUUGGCCAGCAUGGUGAAACCCCAUCUCUACCAAAAAAUACAAAAAUCUGCCAGGCAUGGUGGUGCAACAUAAGACAAGCUUUGAGUAGCAAAAGAUUG
rnacentral:lncRNA from 1 species